AGCAUCAAGAGUCAGGCAGGGGCAGCAGCCCAUGUUCAGCUGGAAUUCUGUGGCUUAACCCAGGGGUUUUCUGUGUGUCACGAGAGAUAACACAACACUCUCACCAAUGAAGUUGAAUAAAUUAUAUUUAGGCCUCACAAGCUGGUAGUGGGAACUAUUUGCAGCUUUUUGAGCAGGGGAGGAAUGACGAUCAAAGCUGUAUUUAAGGAAGAAGAAUCUGACAGCGCUGCGUGGGCUUCGCUGGAGCUGGGCAGUGAGAAGGCUAGAAAUUGCAUUUGUUCCGGUAAAAGUGAUAAAAAAGAAAUGACCAGAAGUGGAAAGGUGGGUUGGUGAACCACUGUUUCCACCUCUGAAGGGCCAUGGAGCCAGGGAGGAGGAUUUACUCUUCUCUGUUAAGAAGCAGCUCUGUUGUCCUGACCAAAUGCCAGAAGAUGUGACUUUGAUCAGACCAAGCUACCAAAGACCACUGCCCUUUAUUCCACGAGCCUGGCCCUGUCUACACAGAUGGGCAACCGAGGAGCCUGAUCCAGGAGCCAACAGGUAACUCUGGACCACACAGCGCUUGGCAACAGU
rnacentral:lncRNA from 1 species